UGAGCAGGCUGAGCAGUUGCAUGGGUUUCGGCCCAUGAGGAAAGUCCGAGCAUCAUACAGCAGGGUAACGGCUAACGGCCGCCAAGGGCGACCUUCGGGAAAGUGCAUAGAGAUAUACCGCCGUUUUUACGGUAAGGGUGGAAAGGCGAGGUAAGAGCUCACCGGAAUAUCGGUAACGGUAUUGCCAGGUAAACCCUACCCGAUGCAACAUCGAGCGAAGUUGUCAGCUGGGCAGAUACUUCAAAGGAUGGCUUGAGCAUAUCGGUAACGGUAUGCCUAGAUAGAUAACUGCUUUAAACGACAGAACUCGGCUUACAGGCGUACUCACAUU
rnacentral:RNase_P_RNA from 1 species